AUACGGAGGGUGCAAGCGUUAAUCGGAAUUACUGGGCGUAAAGCGCGCGUAGGCGGUUUAGUAAGUCGGAUGUGAAAGCCCAGGGCUCAACCCUGGAAUUGCAUUCGAUACUGCAUGGCUAGAGUAUGGUAGAGGGAAGUGGAAUUUCCGGUGUAGCGGUGAAAUGCGUAGAUAUCGGAAGGAACACCAGUGGCGAAGGCGACUUCCUGGGCCAAUACUGACGCUGAGGUGCGAAAGCGUGGGGAGCAAACAGGAUUAGAAACCCCGGUAGUCC
rnacentral:rRNA from 1 species